AGACCACGAGGUGACAGAACCAGAAUGAGGCUCAUGGCUGCUAGACGGGGCGAUGAAUGAACCCGAUCCAUCUCCUCCAUGAGACACCCGCGGCCCUCCCGUGCAGAAGGGAUGUCACAGUCCCCCCCUGCUCCAGACACGACAGGACCAUGUGAUGAGACAGCACCCAGGAGCUGGAGUUUUACAUAAUGUUCCUCCAUCCAAUUUGGCACAAACACAGUCACCAGGUUCCCAUCAGGCAAUUCUCUGAGUGGCAUCGGACCACGGUGCAUGCUUCAGUUUCCCCUCCAGGCUACAUCGUUAACUCGGCGGUGGGAAAAGGUUUACACUCUGCAGCGAUACAGGUGUGAUGAACACCUGGCUGUCUGAGUCCUAGGCCCCAUUUCCAUGAGUCUGAGAAGACAAGGUCCACUCCGAUUGUCCGGUCAUUUGAUAUCUAACGACCAUGGAUGCCCCUCCCCUCCGCUUCACAGGAGGCCAAUCAUGCUUAAUCAGAUGGAGAACAAAGGACUGAGGAGGGGCCAGGUGCGGGAUUAUUAAGUGUGAGCUGCUAGGGGCAGCAGACUCUCCUGUAUUGGGACAGAAGAUGGGUCAGAGGACUCUGGGAUGACCAAGAUGGACGAUGCUGUAACUUUCUGUUCUCUAUGCUUCCCCCAAGGACUUUCUACACUGUGUUCCCGACAUCGAAUAAACCCGACUGCUGUUCACAGUGCUGGCUGAAAGUCACUGCAGAUGCUGAAACUGGGGGUGCAUUGCUUCCUCUGGGUGGUCAAGUCUCUCAGGUGUCCAACCCAGGAGGACUGGCUGAGGGGAGCUCACAGUGUGAA